CGGAAAGGGUUAACCACAAACCGUGGGAGUCCUGUUGAAGUACGCCAACUAGGAUCCCACGGGUGUCAGCGCUCUGGGGCAUGCCGGAGGCCCUUACCUCCCUAGGUUUCGGACAAGGCAACGCCCCCCGGAGUCUUCUACCGGACUACCCUUUACAUGGGGGAAGGUGAUGGCGCUUCCUUCCCCCCCAUUCAUUUACAUAACAAUAAACCCCUGCCAAUGCCUAACCGCCAAAUACCGCAAAGUUGUGACGAUUGCUACGAGGUAGGCGAAAAAACCAAAAAGCCGACAGUGCGCCAAAUUGGAAAAAUUCCUACCAGGCCCCUUACGGCGACCAACCGGAGUCCAUAGCAAGGUCAAAGCUAGCUAAGCCUAAAGGGUGGGUGGGAUGGGAAAAUCUCCGCUCAGCUGGCGAGGGGAAAGAGGGCAGUCCACGGGCGUGCCUGGCCUUAAGUAGCCAAGGCCACGCCUCCCCGGGCCGCCGAUUGGCGGAUCGGGUCGCAGGCACGCCCGGGGAUUCCCUGGGUCUCGCGGGGGCAAAAGGUCCGCCCCCCGCGUGUGGGAGGGGGUCGCCCGCAACCCCCUCUCCUCUGAAGUCGGAAAUGGCUUUGCGUGGCAAGACCCCUCCCCCAAGUGAAAAGAAAACACUGGACACAUUAUAUAAGGUUAAGUGGGCAUAAAAAGGCCACAACUUUAUUGAUUACAGAAUUGAAGGUAUUGGCCUUAGGCAUUGGCUCCUAUUGACUACCCGGUAAGCAGACCGGGAAGGGUUAACCACAAACCGUGGGAGUCCUGUUGAAGUACGCCAACUAGGAUCCCACGGGUGUCACCGCUCUGGGGCGUGCCGGAGGCCCUUACCUCCCUAGGUUUCGGACAAGGCAACGCCCCCCGGAGUCCUCUACCGGACUACCCUUUACAUGGGGGAAGGUGAUGGCGCUUCCUUCCCCCCCAUUCAUUUACAUAACAAUAAACCCC